GAGUUUGAUCCUGGCUCAGAACGAACGCUGGCGGCAUGCCUAACACAUGCAAGUCGAACGAGACCUUCGGGUCUAGUGGCGCACGGGUGCGUAACGCGUGGGAAUCUGCCUUUGGGUUCGGAAUAACAGUGAGAAAUUACUGCUAAUACCGGAUGAUGUCUUCGGACCAAAGAUUUAUCGCCCAAAGAUGAGCCCGCGUAAGAUUAGCUUGUUGGUGAGGUAAAGGCUCACCAAGGCGACGAUCUUUAGCUGGUCUGAGAGGAUGAUCAGCCACACUGGGACUGAGACACG
rnacentral:rRNA from 1 species